rnacentral:rRNA from 1 species
GAUGAACGCUGGCGGCGUGCCUAACACAUGCAAGUCGAGCGAACAGACGAGGAGCAUUCUCCCCUGACGUUAGCGGCGGACGGGAGAGUAACACGUGGAUAACCUAACUAUAAGACUGGGAUAACAUCGGGAUACCGGAGCUAAUACCGGAUAAUACAUCGAACUGGAUGGUUCAAUAGUGAAAGUCGCUUUUGCUGUCACUAACAGCCGGAUCCGCGUUGCAUUAUUUAGUUGGGAAGGUAACGGCUUAGCAAGGCUACGAUGCGUAGCCGACCUGAGAGGUUGGUCCGCCACACGGGAACUGAGACUCGGUCCAGACUCCUACGGGGAGCAGCAGUAGGGAAUCUUCCGCAAUGGGCGAAAGCCUGACGGAGCAACACCGCGUGAGUGAUGAAGGUCUUCGGAUCGUAAAGCUCUGUUGUUAGGGAAGAACAAAAGUGUAAGUAAACGUGCACGUCUUGACGGUACCUAAAGAAAAAGCCACGGCUAACUACGUG